rnacentral:rRNA from 1 species
UACAGAGGUCUCAAGCGUUGUUCGGAUUCAUUGGGCGUAAAGGGUGCGUAGGCGGCGCGGUAAGUCGGGUGUGAAAUCUCGGAGCUUAACUCCGAAACUGCAUUCGAUACUGCCGUGCUUGAGGACUGUAGAGGAGACUGGAAUUUACGGUGUAGCGGUGAAAUGCGCAGAUAUCAGGAAGAACACCCGUGGCGAAGGCGGCUCUCUGGGACGGUACUGACGCUGAGACGCGAAAGCGUGGGGAGCGAACAGG